rnacentral:rRNA from 1 species
GGACGAACGCUGGCGGCGUGCUUAACCCAUGCAAGUCGAACGGAAAGGCCCUGCUUUUGUGGGGUGCUCGAGUGGCGAACGGGUGAGUAACACGUGAGUAACCUGCCCUUGACUUUGGGAUAACUUCAGGAAACUGGGGCUAAUACCGGAUAGGAGCUCCUGCUGCAUGGUGGGGGUUGGAAAGUUUCGGCGGUUGGGGAUAGACUCGCGGCUUAUCAGCUUGUUGGUGGGGUAGUGGCUUACCAAGGCUUUGACGGGUAGCCGGCCUGAGAGGGUGACCGGCCACAUUGGGACUGAGAUACGGCCCAGACUCCUACGGGAGGCAGCAGUGGGGAAUAUUGCACAAUGGGCGGAAGCCUGAUGCAGCAACGCCGCGUGCGGGAUGACGGCCUUCGGGUUGUAAACCGCUUUCGCCUGUGACGAAGCGUGAGUGACGGUAAUGGGUAAAGAAGCACCGGCUAACUACGUG